GGGGAAGUAGCUCAGUUGGUAGAGCUUUAGGUCGUUGGUUCGAGUCCAACCUUCUCCA
rnacentral:tRNA from 5 species